AUUAAACUAAAUAUAUUUUAUUUCCCUCUGGCAUAUUUCGGAUAAAUGAUUGUUGGGAAAUUAGACGCAACUAAUUCCGCCCGGGAUCAAGUGUGACUCAAUAUUUUGGAUAUCGACCGAUAUGAAACGAGAAGAAAAAUGACACCGAUAUUUUUAACGUGGUUCGGCCAAACUGCCUACGUCCACGGACCCACACCAAUAUAUUAGAGAAUCUCAAAAGGAGGAGUACAACAAAAAUACCACACUGUAUUUUGUAUCUGCCUACGCAGAGGCUAUCUCUCAACUCACUUUUAUCACUCGUGUAUAACUUCCACUCAGAAGCUAUCCUCACACAAGAUUUCUCUCUCUCUAAUAUCACACCCUUCUCUGGUGUUGUUGGUGGUUUUGGGUGGUUGGUAGCUGCUGCCGUGGUUUUUUAUAGGGGAUGAUAGGUGGUAGGUUGCAGAUUUUGUUGAUGGCCAUUGCUUGCCAUUGUUGAAUGUUGCAGCCGCAACUUUUGAACUUUUGACCAACAAUCUCCCACUUGAAGACUGAUUUCAAUCUGUCUUCACACCUUGAUCAACGCAGCAGUCUUUCUGUCUUAACUGUAAAGACAUAACCGGUAGUGCUUCUCCUGCGAUCUACCGCACCGGCAAAAUCUGCAUCUACAAAACCUUGUAGUGCUACAUCACCUCGUCGAAAGCAUAAGCAUCUAUCAGUAGAUCCACGUAGAUAUCUCAAUAUCCACUUUACUGCUUCCCAAUGCUGCUUUCCAGGAUUUGCCAUAAAUCUGCUCACAACUCCCACUGCAUGAGCGAUAUCUGGUCUAGUACAGACCAUGGCAUACAUCAGACUUCCAACGGCUGAGGCGUAAGGAAUUUUAGCCAUGAAGUCUCUUUCCUCCUUUGUCUUUUGAGAGUGCUCUUUGCAUAGGCGGAAAUGGUUAGCUAACGCUGAGCUAACCGGCUUAGCACUGCUCAUGUUGAAUCUUUGCAAGAUUCGAUCAACGUAUUUGGCCUGAGACAACUGCAAAACACCUUUUUUGCUUGUCUCUGUAAAUUCUCAUCCCGAGAAUUCGCUUUGCUUCUCCUAAAUCCUCCCCUCAAACCAAGGACCACAUCAUGUCCUCCCUCGAACGACAAUCCGUACAUCUUGCACCGCCGUUACCACUCAACGGGACUCGCUGCCUGACCACACUAUCAGGAAGACUUUCGAUACAAGGAACCACCGGAUUCAAUCGUGAGUUCACUGGGGGUACACCUCCGUAUAUCUUGCACCGCCGUUACCACUCAACGGGACUCGCUGCCUGACCACACUAUCAGGAAGACUUUCGAUACAAGGAACCUGAGGUCGAGAUGACCUCCUAGGAAUAGGAGUUAGAGCUGGAACUGGAGACUGUGGUGAAUCAGCCUCAGAGUUGGGCUCCUCCGUCUGCAAACUUUCAUCUGUUUGCUUCGAUGUACUGCACUCUGCAGUAUCAUCUGGAUCAACAUAUGUUGGAUCCUCCGUUGUUGUGUCGGUGAACUGCACUGCAUUCCUGUCCUUUUACAGCACAUUUUCAUUGAAUAUUACGUCCCUGCUUCGGAUGACCUUCCUGUUUUUGUCAUCUCAAAAACGGUACCCGAACUCAUCUCCACCAUAUCCAAUGAAAGUACAUUUUAGUGAUUUGGAGUCGAGCUUACUCCUGGCAAUAUCACUAAUGUGUACAUACGCGACACAGCCAAAUACUUUUAAGUGAGAAAGUUUAAUUUCUUUGCCACUCAAAACUUCCUCCGGUAUUCUGUACUCCAAUGGUACAGAUGUCCCAUGGUUAACGAGAUAUGCCGUUGUGUUGACAGCUUCUGCCCAAAAUUGUGUUGGCAGUCCUGCAUGUAUCCUCAUGCUCCUAGCUCUUUCUGUCAACGUCCGGUUCAUGCGUUCUGCGACUCUAUUUUGUUGUGGGGUCCCUGGCAUUUCCAACUUGAUGCCAUUCUGGUAACAAAAUUUCUUGAACGCCAUAUCUUCGUAUUCUCCGCCAUUAUCGGAUCUCUUUAUCCGUAAGCCAGUUUCAUUUUCCACCAUGGCCUUCCACUUCUUGAACGCCUCAAACACCUCUGACUUUUGUCUCAAGAAGUAAACCCACACCUUUCUCAAGUGGUCAUCGAUGAAAGUCACAAAGGUAAGACUUUCCGCCAAUGGAUGAAACUCUUGCUGGACCCCAAACAUCUGUGUGGACUAACUCAAGCUUUACUUGCUUCAGAGUUCUACCACUUGUGUUGAAACUCACCCUCUUCUGCUUCCCGAAGAUACAACUUUCGCAAAAGUCUAUAUCAACUGACUGAAGCUCUGGUAGUUUCCCUUUCGAAUGCAUAUACUUGAGUCCUUUCUGGCUCAUGUGCCCAAGUCUUUGGUGCCACAAAUUUGCAUUCUUCUUGCUAUCAGCAACUGCAAUUGUCACACACGCAUUCAUCGCUGUGUAUAGGCUGCCAGUAUCCUUGCCACGUGCAAGAAUCAUUGCGCCCCUAGUGAUUUUCCAACAAUCACCUGAGAGGUGUGUAUCACAUCCUUCUCUCGACAAUUGCUUGACGGAGAUCAAGUUAUUCCUCAACUCUGGAAUAUGUCUCACGUCCUUCUCCUUCAGCCACAACAUUGGCUUCGGUCUUUUUCUCGUUUCCCUUUGAAGGUACUUUACACUGCGUUCUGUAGUGCCCGACCUGACCACAGUUCCAACAUUCAACAGACUUUGAUUUGUUGGAAUUCUUGUGGAUUCUGGAGCUCUGCCUGCCAUUCCUUGACUUGCUCCGUCCACGUCCUUGACUUCUGGAUUUUCCUUCAAGGGCUUAUACAGGUCCUUCUGGUACAAGUAAUCCUCCAUUUGCAUUUUCCAAAAAAUCCAAAAUUCACACCGUUGAAUUUAUCAAUUUUGGAAAUUUUAUCGUCUGUCGACAUUGCUCCCACUCGAUCUGGACUCCUUGGAUCGUUUCUGAUUUUUCAGCUAACCACCGUGUUUAGAACACCUUUUGUCGACAAAUCGGAACCGCCGACAAAUUUCACUAUUCACGAAAUUCACUAUUCACGUGAAUAGUAACAGCGAAAAAACAUCAGAAAAUAUCUGCCACCACCGUGGCUCUGAUACCAGUUGUUGGGAAUUAUAGACGCCAAUAAUUCCGCCCAGGAUUGUUGUUGGGAAAUUAGACACAACUAAUUCCGCCCGGGAUCAAGUGUGACUCAAUAUUGUGGAUAUCGACCGAUAUGAAACGAGAAGAAAAAUGACACCGAUAUUUUUAACGUGGUUCGGCCAAACUGCCUACGUCCACGGACCCACACCAAUAUAUUAGAGAAUCUCAAAAGGAGGAGUACAACAAAAAUACCACACUGUAUUUUGUAUCUGCCUACGCAGAGGCUAUCUCUCAACUCACUUUUAUCACUCGUGUAUAACUUCCACUCAGAAGCUAUCCUCACACAAGAUUUCUCUCUCUCUAAUAUCACACCCUUCUCUGGUGUUGUUCUGGGGGUUUUGGGGUGGUUACAAGCUGCUGCCAUGCCUUCUAUUUAUAGGCAAAAUGAGGGGGAAGCUUUCCGCAUUUGUUGAAGAACACAACCAAGCAAAGUUGGAAUUGUGCAGCAAACUUUGAUUUAUUAGCCGCACACCCUUUUUGGCCACAACUUUUGAUUGGCCACAACUUUUUGACUAACAAU
rnacentral:lncRNA from 1 species